rnacentral:rRNA from 1 species
GAUGAACGCUAGCGGCAGGCCUAAUACAUGCAAGUCGAGGGGUAGAAGAGGCUUGCUUCUUUGAGACCGGCGCACGGGUGCGUAACGCGUAUGCAACCUACCUUCAUCUGGGGGAUAGCCCGGAGAAAUCCGGAUUAAUACCGCAUAAAAUCACAGGAUGGCAUUAUCCAAUGAUCAAACAUUUAUGGGAUGGAGAUGGGCAUGCGUGUCAUUAGCUAGUUGGCGGGGUAACGGCCCACCAAGGCGACGAUGACUAGGGGAUCUGAGAGGAUGGCCCCCCACACUGGUACUGAGACACGGACCAGACUCCUACGGGAGGCAGCAGUAAGGAAUAUUGGUCAAUGGAGGCAACUCUGAACCAGCCAUGCCGCGUGCAGGAAGACUGCCCUAUGGGUUGUAAACUGCUUUUAUACGGGAAUAAACCUCUCUACGUGUAGAGAGUUGAAUGUACUGUAAGAAUAAGGAUCGGCUAACUCCGUGCCAGCAGCCGCCGUAA